UACGGAGGGUGCUAACGUUGUCCGGAAUCACUGGGCGUAAAGCGCAUGUAGGUGGCUUGGUAAGUGAACGAUCAAAGACCGACGCUCAACGUCGGACCGGUUGUUCAAACUGCCUGGCUUGAGGAAGACAGGGGUAAGCGGAACUUUGAGUGUAGGAGUGAAAUCGUAGAUAUCUAAAGGAACACCAAUGGCGAAGGCAGCUUACUGGGUCUUUUCUGACACUGAGAUGCGAAAAGCGUGGGGAGCGAACGGG
rnacentral:rRNA from 1 species